GAGAGUUGAUCAUGGCUCAGGAUGAACGCUAGCUACAGGCUUAACACAUGCAAGUCGAGGGCAGCAUGUGGUUGCUUGCAACCAAUGAUGGCGACCGGCGCACGGGUGAGUAACGCGUAUCCAACCUUCCCUAUAGUAGAGGAUAGCCCGGCGAAAGUCGGAUUAAUACUCUAUGUUUUCCAAUGCAGACAUCUAAGUUGGAACAAAGGUUCACCGCUAUAGGAUGGGGGAUGCGUCUGAUUAGAUAGUCGGCGGGGUAACGGCCCACCGAGUCGACGAUCAGUAGGGGUUCUGAGAGGAAGGUCCCCCACAUUGGAACUGAGACACGGUCCAAACUCCUACGGGAGGCAGCAGUGAGGAAUAUUGGUCAAUGGGCGAGAGCCUGAACCAGCCAAGUAGCGUGCAGGAUGACGGCCCUAUGGGUUGUAAACUGCUUUUAUACAGGGAUAAAGUGACGUACGUGUACGUUUUUGUAGGUACUGUAUGAAUAAGGACCGGCUAAUUCCGUGCCAGCAGCGGC
rnacentral:rRNA from 1 species